rnacentral:lncRNA from 1 species
CUUUCUUGUUUUGGAGAAGAACAGAUGUUUAGUUUAGUUUUUGUUUUGUUCUCUCUGCAGAUCCUCCUCCUCCUCCUCCUCCUGGACUCGUCGACAGUAUAUCUGUUUGCAUUGUUUUGGCAGUAAUCUCCCUUUUAGUCUCUGAGCUCCUGUGAAAUAAAUGUCUGAUGGUGCAGCUGUGCAGGAAAAAUGGAGCUGAAAACAUUUAGAAAUUUGGGCAAAAAAAAAACUGAGAACAAACUUUUUUACACCAGUGAAAUCUGAGAAAAGUAUGUUAAGCAGAAGCGGACUCAGACGGCUGUGAAGUCGAACUAACAUGAAAUUAUUAAAAUGCUAAAAACAUUUGAAGUUUCCCAGAAUAUUUCCAAAGUUUUUCCAAAAGGCUUUUCUUGCAUCAUUAUUCUAAUUUUGUUGUGCUUGUUAGUGUCCGGGUUACUGACAGCCUGCAGAUUCCUGUUACAAUUAGUCCUGGCAGCAGUGCCAGAUGUUUGUGAGAGAGGAGAGAGGGAGAUGUCAAACACCUGUCUGAUCACCACGGUGCACAUGCUGCUGCUGCUGCUGCUGCUGCUGCUGCUGCUGCAAGAGGCAACACUGCAACAACCACUCCUUGUUAGUUUAGUCUCCUCUUCAAGGUCCGCGCUGCGACUGCACAGCAGACACCUCGCUGACAAACACACCGCAGGUUUUAUUUUCAGGAUUAGAGGAAAUGCAAAAUGAGCAAAGACAAGAUCCUAACCGUGUCGGCUGGACUCAGGUCUGUUUUUUAGCUGCAGUUUUUGUCAGAGUGGUUCCUGUUAAAACCAGGAAAAGAACAAAUCAGUUUUUCUUUCUCUUAAAUUUCUUUGUGGUUUUAUUUGUGAUUUUUUCCCCAGAAGUU